rnacentral:rRNA from 1 species
CAGUAGCCGCGGUAAUACGUAGGUGGCAAGCGUUGUCCGGAAUUAUUGGGCGUAAAGGGCUCGCAGGCGGUUUCUUAAGUCUGAUGUGAAAGCCCCCGGCUCAACCGGGGAGGGUCAUUGGAAACUGGGAAACUUGAGUGCAGAAGAGGAGAGUGGAAUUCCACGUGUAGCGGUGAAAUGCGUAGAGAUGUGGAGGAACACCAGUGGCGAAGGCGACUCUCUGGUUUGUAACUGACGCUGAGGAGCGAAAGCGUGGGGAGCGAACAGGAUUAGAUACCCCCGUAGUCCCUGUCUCUUAUAC